CCUGGCUCAGGAUGAACGCUAGCGGCAGGCUUAACACAUGCAAGUCGAGGGGCAGCGGGGAUUGUGCUUGCACAAUUUGCCGGCGACCGGCGCACGGGUGCGUAACGCGUAUGCAACCUACCCAUAACAGGGGGAUAACACUGAGAAAUUGGUACUAAUACCCCGUAAUAUUAUUUGAGGCAUCUCAGAUAGUUGAAAGUUCCGGCGGUUAUGGAUGGGCAUGCGUUGUAUUAGCUAGUUGGUGGGGUAACGGCUCACCAAGGCGACGAUACAUAGGGGGACUGAGAGGUUAACCCCCCACAUUGGUACUGAGACACGGACCAAACUCCUACGGGAGGCAGCAGUGAGGAAUAUUGGUCAAUGGACGCAAGUCUGAACCAGCCAUGCCGCGUGCAGGAAGACGGCUCUAUGAGUUGUAAACUGCUUUUGUAUGAGGGUAAAAUUGGGUACGUGUACCCAACUGAAAGUAUCAUACGAAUAAGGAUCGGCUAACUCCGUG
rnacentral:rRNA from 1 species